rnacentral:lncRNA from 1 species
GGCGGGUGCGAGCCGGCUGGAGAAGGGCGGGGGGCCUUUCCGGCUCGGCGCUGUCCCCAACAUUCCCACUCCAGGUUGUGGUCCCUGCACUGUUCGAUCCAUGUAUUGUGCGUCGGGGGUCGCUUGUCAGACCUGGAGGGGCGCUCAGGGACCGGGCGUUGUUAUGGGCACCGAGGGUGACGGUGGGGCUAAGACAGAACCCCUUGCCCUCGGGAAGCCCCCGGACCAGUAGGGGAUACAGACGAGCCACCGUUCGUACUAGCUGGCUAGUUUGCUGUAGGUGCUGUGGCCCAGGCGGCAGUCCCGCCGCGCCGCGCCCCUCGCCCGCCCCGCCACCCCUAGAGCCGCGGCGACGCCUGCUGGACCGAGAGGGGGGCUGCAGGCACCGUGCGAUCCAGACGCAGACCACACCGGGCACUUCCGCUCUGAGACUCGGCUUCCUCCGGUCCCCUCCCCGUCCCAGCCCCAGCCUGCCCAGGCGGCGCUCCUCUGGGCUCCUGCUUUGGACUACCUCUCACCGCUGACUUAUGCGUCUGUGUUGGCUCUCGGCACCGCCACCCCCAGGCAAACAUCUGGGCUCAGUGGCGAGAGCUGUCUGAGGUGGCUGUCUGUCUGUCUGUCUGUCUGUCUGCCUGCCUGUCUGGGAAAUUCCCCUAGCAGGGAAGAAGAGACUGCUGGAUGUAGGGCUAGGAGUCCCUCUGAGACGGAAGCGAAAGGGCCCCACCAAAACUGCCUCUGCUCUUGCGAGGACCCUCCCCCACACCUUACACGCGCCUCCGGGAAGAGUGCAUAUCCUCCGGUGAAGGUCAAGGGGUCAGUGACCUCUUCCAGCACAGCAGUCAGCGGCUAA